UACGGGGGGGAGCAAGCGUUGUUCGGAUUUACUGGGCGUAAAGGGCGCGUAGGCGGCUUGGCAAGUGGAUGGUGAAAUCCCUCGGCUUAACCGAGGAACUGCCGUCCAAACUGCUUCGCUUGAGACCGGGAGAGGUGAGUGGAAUUCCCAGUGUAGCGGUGAAAUGCGUAGAUAUUGGGGAGGAACACCAGUGGCGAAGGCGGCUCACUGGACCGGUACUGACGCUGAUGCGCGAAAGCGUGGGGAGCAAACGGG
rnacentral:rRNA from 1 species